AGAAAGACAAUGAAACACACGAAAGUUCCUUUAGCCUAAAGUUUAACGUAAAUUAUUGACGCUAGUGCUAUCAUCGCAUAAUUACUAUAUAUCCCUAUUUCUACUCCAUCAAAACAAAAUACCAAAUUCGCAUGUCGUUUCCGCCAACGUGUGAUCACAAAAAAAAACUUGACAGUAGUGGUAAAUCAAUUAAGAGAUAAUGGCUCAUACCAUUCCUAGUAAUCUAUAAUAUUUCAGCACAGUUUAUUUACAAGAAUAAAAGCACACUAUAAAUAAUCAUUCGCUGACGAAGAUAACAAGGUUUCCCUACUAACAGCUAACCUCUUCUAAUAUAUUCUGAUGUACAUAAUUACAGUAACUUCAGCGCAUAUGGGCCGUUUAAAAAUAUUUUGUGUUGAUGUAAAUAGCCACCGAAAGUAGAUAAUGUGUAUUUAUUUCAUAUUUUGCAUAUUCAACGUGUAAGCAGAACGCUGUCGUGACUUUUGGAAACACUUUCAUAACAGAAUGGUCAAAUAAACAGUGCUAUGCGUUAUAUUAUUCUGAACACAUCCUGCAUAAAAUUUGUAGCGUUCGCAGAUUUAGGACAUGAAACAAAGCUUUGCUCUGGCCCUUGCGUCCACAUUCUUAUUGGUAAUAAUUUCUUGUACAUUAUCAUCACGCUGUAUAUUUGAUUUAUUCUAAAUACGUUUUCCUUUGAGCAGUUGCCGGGCUCUUGCGCCUAUUAAUGUUCUCUAAAACGGUUCACAUAUACUAUAUCACCCUUCAAGGUUUCUUUUGCUAAGCGUUAUGAAACAUCGCUCAAUCGCACAAAUAAACGCGGACGAGAAGAAAAAGACAGCGAUGCCGCUAUGUUUCACAAUGCUAUUCACAACCAACUAGCUCAGCUGUCCCCGCUUAGAAAUAUCCUCUUGCUAACGCCUGCUGUGGAAAUAUUUUAAUAUGUUUCAAAUAGAGGAAGCUCAACUCAGUCGCAUUCACUGGUAUGCCAAACUCACUUCAAUAUUGCUUUCUAGGCGACAGUCUUUGUACGAAGUUAGGAACCGCAAUGUUUUGCACUUGAACCUGUUACUCUUUACUGAUAUAGAACUGGGUGUUGGUGGUAAAAAUAAUAUACCUAAAAUGAAGGGUCACGCCCCACCUUCUUGGUAUUUACCAUAAUAAUGUGUCUCACGUGAAUGCGCGAAAUGUGUGAGCGAUGUCUGCCGUCGAAAUUAAUUUUAAUUUGUUUACUGCACUUCUGUUUCUGUGGUUCUCAUAUCUUUACUCCGCUAUCUUGACGCUUUGCAAAAGCUCCAACUCAUGGUCUGGUUGGAUUUCUGGCAAAAAGGCGAACAGAGGAGCGCAUCCCGAGAUACUGACAUAGGAAAAAUUAAUAUGCUUUAUAGCUGCUUCACACCAGCAUUCCCAUCCAACAUGGAUAUCCUAACACACCAGGGGACCUAUACCGUAAAAAUAUUCCAAUAUGUUUUAAUUCCAACCUCCUGGCGUCAAAUUUGCGUACCGCCGACGCAAGCAUCGGGCGGUUAUCCACAGGGUUGUCACUUUUCUUUCCGUUAAAAAUGAAUAACAAUGCCUGCACUGAGGGGCUUGUAUAUUCUAAUUGGCUGACCAGAGGCGAGGAGCACGCUCAAGCGGAGAGGGAUUCGAUGGGGCCGAGUAACUGCACUGAAAAUCGAUAACCGGAGGAAGAGGGUGGAUCCGGCCUCUGUGAUUGGUCCGCUUUCCCUUACUUAGCUUGCGGUCGCUGACCGAAAAUAGCGACGGCAUGCAACACAAUGCCGCUAAAACGAAUCUUCAGCAAAGAAGAGUUGGCAGAACGAGGUCGUAAACGUGACGAGAGUGCUCGAAAACGUUACAAGGCCACGCAAAAUGUUUUAUUGUAUGCAAAUAAACCCAUGCUCUCCGGCAGAUGCGAGUAGCCAGUGCCUGAGUCACCGGCGGCAGCUAUCUUUUGUUCCUUUCCCGAAAGCUGCAGCCCGCGGCGGUUCAGAAGAAAACACUUUUUUCGUUCGGCAUAUCAAUGCAUUUUUAACGCGUACACGUUACUUUGACGUGGUGAGCUCUCGCGGUUUUGUGAAGCCGCCUGAGAAGAAGUGACGUCAUAUCUUCGCACUACCCACGGAGUAAGACCAACAGGAGAUAAGGUUCUCAGACUGCCGUCCUGUCGAGCGAGCUGCUCAAACCACAGAUGAUGGAGAAACUUAUUACUAACACCAAGAGCUGCGGCACCUUGAGCAGUCUAUGCCUGGCUUGGCUUGUACCGAGAGUGAUUACGAAAUACAUCUGAUUCGAAGUGGGCCAACUGGUGUGGUGAUCAUGACAGGCGUUUUCGUAAUAUAUAACUAAAGGUCACUUACAACAUUCACCAC